rnacentral:tRNA from 1 species
UAGCUCAGUCAGUAGAGCAUGAGACUCUUAAACUCAGGCUCGUGGGUUCGAUCCCCAC